rnacentral:rRNA from 1 species
CGGGGGGAGCAAGCGUUGUUCGGAUUUACUGGGCGUAAAGGGCGCGUAGGCGGCCACCGCAAGUCAGUUGUGAAAUCUCUGGGCUUAACCCAGAAAGGUCAACUGAUACUGCGGGGCUAGAGUGCAGAAGGGGCAACUGGAAUUCUCGGUGUAGCGGUGAAAUGCGUAGAUAUCGAGAGGAACACCUGCGGCGUAAGGCGGGUUGCUGGGCUGACACUGACGCUGAGGCGCGAAAGCUAGGGGAGCGAACGGGAUUAGAUACCCCGGUAGUCCUAGCCUUAAACGAUGAAUGCUUGGUGUCUGGGGUUUUAUAGUCCCCGGGUGCCGUCGCUAACGCUUUAAGCAUUCCGCCUGGGGAGUACGGUCGCAAGACUG